GACGAACGCUGGCGGCGUGCUUAACACAUGCAAGUCGAACGGGCCCGCUCUCUUUUUUGGGGGUGGGUUGAGUGGCGAACGGGUGAGUAUCACGUGAGUAACCUGCCCCCUGCUCCUGGAUAACUGCUUGAAAGGGCGGCUAAUACGGGGUGUGCCGGCUGGUCCGCAUGGGCCUGGUCGGGAUAGUUUCAUCUUCGGGUGUUUCGGUGGGGGAUGGGCUCGCGGCCUAUCAGCUUGUUGGUGGGGUGAUGGCCCACCAAGGCGGUGACGGGUAGCCGGCCUGAGAGGGUGGGCGGCCACACUGGGACUGAGACACGGCCCAGACUCCUGCGGGAGGCAGCAGUGGGGGGUAUUGCACAAUGGGCGGAAGCCUGAUGCAGCGACGUCGCGUGAGGGAUGGAGGCCUUCGGGUUGUGUACCUCUUUCUCCGGUGGUGAAGGCCCUGUCCGUUGCGGCGGGGUUGACGGUAGCCGGGUAUGAAGCGCCGGCUAACUACGUG
rnacentral:rRNA from 1 species